rnacentral:lncRNA from 1 species
AAAUAAAUUAUGCACAUGUGACUCUUAAUAACUUUACAAGCCUUCUAGUUACAACCGCUCCCUAAGAAAAUUGAUUGAAAAAACAAUUGGUCGCUUAAUACAUUGGUAAAAUGGAAGGACCCCCUGACUAAUAAAUGGAAGGGUCCAGAUCCAGUUCUAAUUUGGGGUAGGGGCUCAGUUUGUGUUUUUUUCAUGAGAUGAAGAUGGAGCGCAGUGGCUGCCAGAGAGAUUAAUUUGUCAGAUGAACACAGAUUCUGACUCUUCUGGUAAGUAUCAUUCUAAAGACUAAAAUUCCUUUUGUGCUUAAAAUUCAGCUGAGAGCGAAAGCUCCCAAAGCUGUUCUCCAGCUACUCUCUGAGCCAGCUCCCCGACAGGAGACUAGCCUCAGCUUUACAAUUUGCAUUUGAAUAAAGUACCUGGACUUCCCCAAAAGAAGUUCUGCUUUCCUACUUUCUCACUGUCAAGAUUUUGUCUUUCAAGCAGGUAAAUCAACAUUCUCGAGCCAGACCAGCAGAUGUGCAUUCCUGCCCCGCCCCCCCUUGAGAGCACAGGUGACAGCUGUUAUCUCCAUUCUCAGGACAUUCCAGCACGUGGCCUUCAGUCUGAUUUAAAAUUUAGGUUUUCCUAGAGGGCUAGAAAAGUAGAUAUUUCUAUAUUAAUAAAGAUUGGUUUUUAUUUUGAUAGACAGGCUUAGUCCCUUAGCUGACCUCUGGCUUUUCACCCUUGCUGUUACUGCAAGGUGUCCUUAGGCUGUGAAAAAAACAGGGAUGAAGAGGAACGACUUCCAGCUCCUAUUUUAGCCACAAAUCGUGGUGUUACUAAUGACAUAAUUCUUGCCUAGGUCUUGCUAAAUCUGAGGUUGAUAAUUCUCCUUUAGGAGCUGCACAGCACUCAGAGCUGUGCAUACUGGUUUGUGAUCAUACAAAUUCAGUAUGGGCAUCGCUUGGUGCAGAGAGCACUGCAGGGGAAGGUCCAGCUUGACCAUUUCUGAGUUUCCUGUGAGAUAAACCCGGUUUAAAAGAGGGAAGACAUUCUUCCAAAUAUCAAGAAAGGGAGCCCUUGCUUCCCUGGAGGACAUUUCGUCCCAGCAAUCCCUCUCCAUUUCCAUGUGACCAUUCCUACUCUGAGCCAGUUUUGGAAAGAAAGGUA